GGUCACUCAAGAAGACUUAUGGAGGGGCCCAAAUGAUGAGGAACUGAGGCUUCGUAUCAAUAGCUGGGUAGAAACUAAAGCCUCCUGCAAAUAGCCAUAUGAGUGAGCCAUUUUACAAGUGUUGCCUGCAGCCUCAGUCAAGUGUUGUUAAUUAUAGCCGUGGCCAACAUCUUGACUGCCACCUCAUGAAACACUCUGAGCCAGAACAACCCACUACACUACUCUUAUAGAAUCUUAAUUCUAAUCUACAGGAACAAUGCAAAGUACAACCAGAAUGGAAACCAUUCAUCAUUCCUCAAGACUGUCAAGGUCAUGAAAAACAAAGUCCGAGAUACUAACAGACCAGAGGAAGCUAAGGACACAUGACGACUAGACCAGAGGAGACUAAAGAACAUAGCAACCAAAUGCAAAGGAAAAUUUGGUAAAAUCCAAAUAAGGUUUGGACUAUAGUUAAUAAAAAAGUGCUAAUAAUGCUA